UACGAAGGGGGCUAGCGUUGCUCGGAAUCACUGGGCGUAAAGCGCACGUAGGCGGGUCAUUAAGUCGGGGGUGAAAUCCUGGAGCUCAACUCCAGAACUGCCUUCGAAACUGAUGAUCUUGAGUUCGGGAGAGGUGAGUGGAACUGCGAGUGUAGAGGUGAAAUUCGUAGAUAUUCGCAAGAACACCAGUGGCGAAGGCGGCUCACUGGCCCGAUACUGACGCUGAGGUGCGAAAGCGUGGGGAGCAAACAGGG
rnacentral:rRNA from 1 species